GACGAACGCUGGCGGCGUGCUUAACACAUGCAAGUCGAACGGAAAGGCCUGCUUUCCCUUGUGGAUUGCGGGUACUCGAGUGGCGAACGGGUGAGUAACACGUGAGUGAUCUGCCCCCAACUUUGGUAUAAGCCUGGGAAACUGGGUCUAAUUCCCGAUAGGACUGCAGGGUGGUGCCUGUGGUGGAAAACGAUUUUCUAGUGGUUGGGGAUGAGCUCGCGGCCUAUCAGCUUGUUGGUGGGGUAAUGGCCUACCAAGGCGGCGACGGGUAGCCGGCCUGAGAGGGUGGACGGCCACAUUGGGACUGAGAUACGGCCCAGACGCCUACGGGAGGCAGCAGUGGGGAAGAUUGCACAAUGGGCGGAAGCCUGAUGCAGCGACGCCGCGUGGGGGAUGACGGCCUUCGGGUUGUAAACUCCUUUCGACCGCGAGGAAGCCACCUGGUUGGAAGGGUGGUGACGGUAGUGGUAGAAGAAGCACCGGCUAACUACGUG
rnacentral:rRNA from 1 species